CGAACGCUGGCGGCAUGGCUAAAACAUGCAAGUCGAGCGCGAAAGUUCCUUCGGGAGCGAGUAGAGCGGCGAAAGGGCGAGUAAUACGUUUCUACGUACCCCGAGGUCAGGGAUAGCCCAGGGAAACCUGGAUUAAUACCUGAUGUGGUCUUCGGAUCAAAGGCUUGCCGCCUCGGGAGCGGGGAACGUCCUAUCAGGUUGUUGGUGAGGUAACGGCUCACCAAGCCGGAGACGGGUAGCGGGUGUGAGAGCAUGACCCGCCGCAUCGGGACUGAGACACUGCCCGGACUCCUACGGGAGGCUGCAGUAACGAAUCUUCCGCAAUGCGCGAAAGCGUGACGGAGCAAUGCCGCGUGCAGGAUGAAUCCCUUCGGGGUGUAAACUGCUGUCAGGGUUUAGCAACACAAUGAGCAGACCCAAAGGAAGGGCCGGCUAAGUUC
rnacentral:rRNA from 1 species